CCUGAUGAUACUACUAAAAGUACGUCUAGUAAGCCACACACGAUUGAAAUACCAGAAGAAUUUGGCCCUGUCAGAAGAUUUUUCGUGAAAUACAUUCGACCUGAAAGAGAUCUCUUCAUUGGAACUAGAGAACCAGAGAAAGACAAUUUAAGGCAAGUUGAAAAGGAUUACUAUGUUCUGACAAAGGCCAGGCAGCGAGCUCAUUAUAUUUGUGCUCCUAAAAUAAUCGACUUCGACGAAUGCUCAGAAAGAGAGGGAGCUUUGUUUAACCUGAUAAAAUGUCGAAAUCAGCUCAAAGAAAUGAACAAGUGUCUGACUCUGUAUGCGAGCGACGAUCAAAUCGUGCUGGCUUCGAAGAAAGAAUAUCUACAGGAACGACAGUACUUCAGAGAUACUGGGAAAUGUUUUUCCGAUGAUCCGAAGACACAACGCAAACUGAAGUACUGGAUAGAUCUGGGAAGAACUGAUUAUCUGAAAGCAAAAUCUGAAUGUGAACAGAAAAGUGUUAAAUUCGACUGGAUAAACGAUCAUUGCAAAUUUACUAGCAAUCGAAAUUGAUAUACUGUAAAUAAAUAUUUUAUUGGA